UUGCUCCUGACUGAGUAUAAAGAUUAAGAUUGUCAUUUCUCUGGAAGGUCUUUCUGGGCCUUACAUGAUUUACACUCUAUCAGAGAAUUUGAAGUCAUACACUGGAACACAUUAUAAUUCAACUGAUUUGAAGUUAUCUUGCUCCUGACCGAGUAUAAAGAUUGUCAAUUCUUUGGAGGAUCUUUCUGGGCAUCACAUGAUUUACACUACAUCAGAGGAUUUGAAGUCAUAGACUGGGACACAUUAUAAUUCAACUAAUUUGAAGUUAUCUUGCUCCUGACCGGACUGAGAAUCAAGAUUGUCAUUUUCUUUGAAAGGUUUUUCUGAGCAUCACAAGAUUUACACUCUAUCAGAGAAUUUGAAGUCAUAGACUGAAACACAUUAUAAUCCAACUCAGGCUGAUUUGAAGCGAUAUGGCAGGCCAAGAACCAUUCAUGGGUCAACAGUUACACUGCAUUUCUUUGAACAGUCAAAUGUUAGACAAGGAAUUACCACGAUCCAAGCGUAACUGUCACCUGGUGGA
rnacentral:lncRNA from 1 species